rnacentral:rRNA from 1 species
AUUGAACGCUGGCGGCAGGCCUAACACAUGCAAGUCGAGCGGAUGAAGAGAGCUUGCUCUCUGAUUUAGCGGCGGACGGGUGAGUAAUGCCUAGGAGUCUGCCUGGUAGUGGGGGAUAACGUCCGGAAACGGGCGCUAAUACCGCAUACGUCCUACGGGAGAAAGCAGGGGACCUUCGGGCCUUGCGCUAUCAGAUGAGCCUAGGUCGGAUUAGCUAGUUGGUGAGGUAAUGGCUCACCAAGGCUACGAUCCGUAACUGGUCUGAGAGGAUGAUCAGUCACACUGGAACUGAGACACGGUCCAGACUCCUACGGGAGGCAGCAGUGGGGAAUAUUGGACAAUGGGCGAAAGCCUGAUCCAGCCAUGCUGCGUGUGUGAAGAAGGUCUUCGGAUUGUAAAGCACAUUAAGUUGGGAGGAAGGGCAGUAAGUUAAUACCUUGCUGUUUUGACGUUACCGACAGAAUAAGCACCGGCUAACUUCGUGCCAGCCGCCGCAGUAAGAC